CGCCCCGAGGAACGCACAAAGUGAAAAAUAAAGUUUGGAAAAAAAAAAAUUACUGUCACGAAGUGUAUCUUUCCCUUUAUUCAGAUUUUUCGAGGAAAUACAAAGUGUGUGGUUGGUGAGCCUACAUCUCUUUGGUGAUUGAAAUUGAAGUUAUAUCGAGCCUUUUUUGGGCUACAACUUCUGGUAAUUUUACCAACUCAGUUCUUUAAAGUAGUAUCCGUUGAUUUGUGUCCGUUAUGCACAGAGAGAUUUUCCAUUUAACUACUCAAGAUCAGUUGGGCAUGGCUCAUUUAAAAAACCUGGGUUUCUUGAUGCUGCCCUCAAGUUGUUCGAUGAAAUGGGUGAGAGAAAUUUGAUUCUGGGUAUGUGAAAUCUUGGCUUGGGAGCUGCAAUCAUGUUCAAAAAAUUUGUGUUUUGAGUACUUGUCGAGGUCAGCAUUGGGCUUAAAACCCUGAAGUAUCUGAUGAGAUCGUGCAGGGUAUUCAAAAUGUUGAGUGUUGUGGUUGCAUGAUUAAUCCUCUAUGCUGAGGGUUUAUUUGAUGAGCGUAUUGGUUAGAUGAUUUCAGGAAACAUCAGGAGCUCCAUUUUGGCUGAGACCAUUUUGAUGAAGCUUACAAACAACUCUGUUUGAAGUCAUUUUCUGUGCAAGUGGGAAAUUGAUGAUUGCGCAAAGCACAGGCUAAUCGUGAAGUAGAUCUGGAUCCAAUUAGAUAGACAGUCUAGUUGCGUUGAACUUGACAGUGUUGGUUCGAAGAGUUCCUUGUUGGGGUUAAAUUCAAUCCUUCGGAUUGCCAAUUAUGUUGGGAGAUUGAUUUAUUAGAGAAGUGGUCUUAUUUUCCUUGCUUAAGAUUCAUCAGAUGAUAAUUGCAUCCAAUGCUUUAAAGAGGGCUGGUGGAUGUGCAACAGACUGGAGAUGCUUCACAAUGGCCGACGAAAAGGAACAGAAUCAAUUAAGCCUGUUGAGUUUCUCGAUAGUCCUUUUAUCACUUUUUCCUUUUUAUGGAAAUUGGGAGGAGACGUCUUCUUCAGGGAGUCUCUUCAUUCAUAUUUGGAUUAUCUCUGGAGUUUCUUCUUAUGAAGGAGACCUCUAAUACAGAAAUCAUAGCUAAACAACUUCGAUGAUAUAUCAGAGAUUCAUGUAAUGUAUAGUAAACCUGAGUACACACUUACAGACAUUUACAAUUAUGUUAUGGUUGUCUCCCAAAAUGUAUUCAUAUCCUAAAGUUUUAUUGAUGGGGACAUCCGGACACAUACACGGGAUUUUCGCCGAGUUUAUCAGCGAAGGAGACGCCAGGUUGCAGCACUAUGGAUUUGAUUUCAAUUGUAAUAAAUUAGUUUGAAAUUUGAAUUUAUUUUUGAAUUUCGAAUUUCAUUUGGCAGCUAAUUAGUUAAGUGGUUGUAUUUUGGU